rnacentral:rRNA from 1 species
GAUGAACGCUGGCGGCGUGCCUAAUACAUGCAAGUCGAGCGAACAGAUGAGGAGCUUGCUCCUCUGACGUUAGCGGCGGACGGGUGAGUAACACGUGGAUAACCUACCUAUAAGACUGGGAUAACUUCGGGAAACCGGAGCUAAUACCGGAUAAUAUAUUGAACCGCAUGGUUCAAUAGUGAAAGACGGUUUUGCUGUCACUUAUAGAUGGAUCCGCGCCGCAUUAGCUAGUUGGUAAGGUAACGGCUUACCAAGGCGACGAUGCGUAGCCGACCUGAGAGGGUGAUCGGCCACACUGGAACUGAGACACGGUCCAGACUCCUACGGGAGGCAGCAGUAGGGAAUCUUCCGCAAUGGGCGAAAGCCUGACGGAGCAACGCCGCGUGAGUGAUGAAGGUCUUCGGAUCGUAAAACUCUGUUAUUAGGGAAGAAAAAAUGUGUAAGUAACUAUGCACGUCUUGACGGUACCUAAUCAGAAAGCCACGGCUAACUACGUG